rnacentral:rRNA from 1 species
ACUCCUACGGGAGGCAGCAGUCGAGAAUCUUCCGCAAUGGGCGCAAGCCUGACGGAGCGACGUCGCGUGAUGGAUGAAGUGGUUCGCCAUGUAAACAUCUUUUAUAGGUGAAGAAGUUUAUUGACAUUAGCCUAUGAAUAAGGGGUUGCUAAACUCGUGCCAGCAGCAGCGGUAAUACGAGUGCCCCGAGCGUUAUCCGGAAUCACUGGGCGUAAAGGGUGCGUAGGUGGCUUAAAUAGUCGAAAGUUAAAUCAACAGGCUCAACCUGUUGGCUGCUUUCGAAACGUUUGAGCUUGAGGUAGUCAGAGGCAAGUGGAACUCAUGGUGUAGGGGUGAAAUCCGUUGAUAUCAUGGGGAAUAUCGAAAGCGAAGGCAGCUUGCUGGGGCUUACCUGACACUGAGGCACGAAAGCGUGGGGAGCGAAUGGGGAUUAGAUACCCUGGUAGGUCAGUC